rnacentral:rRNA from 1 species
UACGUAGGGGGCAAGCGUUGUCCGGAUUUAUUGGGCGUAAAGAGCUCGCAGGUGGUUUGGUAAGUCGGAUGUGAAAUCUCCAGGCUCAACCUGGAGGGGUCAUUCGAUACUGCCAUGACUAGAGGUCGGUAGGGGAGUGUGGAAUUCCUGGUGGAGCGGUGAAAUGCGUAGAGAUCCGGAGGAACACCGAAGGCGAAGGCAGUGUCCUGGGGAGUACCUGACGCUCAGGUGCGAAAGCUAGGGGAGCGAACGGG